UACGGAGGGGGCUAGCGUUGUUCGGAAUUACUGGGCGUAAAGCGCGCGUAGGCGGACCUGCAAGUCGGGGGUGAAAGCCUGAGGCUCAACCUCGGAACUGCCUUCGAUACUGCGGGUCUCGAGUCCGGGAGAGGUGAGUGGAAUUCCUAGUGUAGAGGUGAAAUUCGUAGAUAUUAGGAAGAACACCAGUGGCGAAGGCGGCUCACUGGCCCGGUACUGACGCUGAGGCGCGAAAGCGUGGGGAGCAAA
rnacentral:rRNA from 1 species